CCUACGUGUGGCAGCAGUGGGGAAUAUUGGACAAUGGGCGAAAGCCUGAUCCAGCCAUGCCGCGUGUGUGAAGAAGGCCUUCGGGUUGUAAAGCACUUUCAGUGGGGAAGAAAGCCUUGGGGCUAAUACCCUCGAGGAAGGACAUCACCCACAGAAGAAGCACCGGCUAACUCCGUGCCAGCAGCCGCGGUAAUACGGAGGGUGCGAGCGUUAAUCGGAAUUACUGGGCGUAAAGCGCGCGUAGGCGGUCUGAUAAGCCGGUUGUGAAAGCCCCGGGCUCAACCUGGGAACGGCAUCCGGAACUGUCAGGCUAGAGUGCAGGAGAGGAAGGUAGAAUUCCCGGUGUAGCGGUGAAAUGCGUAGAGAUCGGGAGGAAUACCAGUGGCGAAGGCGGCCUUCUGGACUGACACUGACGCUGAGGUGCGAAAGCGUGGGUAGCAAACAGGAUUAGAUACCCUGGUAGUC
rnacentral:rRNA from 1 species